GUUAAGCGUUGUGCGCCGCGGCCGGGCGCGGUGAUUCACGCCUGUAAUCCCAGCACUUUGGGGGGCCGAGGCGGGCGGAUCACGACGUCAGGAGAUCGAGACCAUUCUGGCUAACACGAACCUGGAUUUUAGCUGAGCUAAGGAGCAAAAAUUCCUGCAUCAGUAUGAGGUGUAAGGAAGAACAGAAGGAUCCAAGUGUGAGAAAGCCCACCCUGAGUCUCUCAGAGAUUCAUUUCACUACCAGGUCAAAGACACAAUCAAAAGCCCGACAAAUGGAAUUUGUGGAAUUGGAACAAAAAGCUUUUCUUCCUAGGCACAAGAACAUCAAAGCAUAAAUCCUUCAGGUAUCAGCAAUGACAUCACUUAAGAAUUUCUCAGAAUCUUUGGCACCACCCCAGGCCUACCGGAUCAGAAUCUGAAUUUUUUAACAAGAUCUCAGAUCUAGUCAAGAGUCCAGUCUGAUUUCUCUUUAUUGGGACUACCACCCAAAGCAGAAUGAGGAUGAUGUAACCACGCCCAGUGACUUCUGGAUACCACUGACUCUAGAUCCUGAAUUCCAGCAGAAUGGCUGACACCAACUGGUCUGAAGACCCUCACCAAGGAACUGACUCAGUGCAGGAAUGCAGUUUCUUCAUCUCCCUAUCCCUGACUUCACCCCUCACUUCUCAACCAAUCAGUGAUCACCACACUUUAGGCCAUCACCUGUGUCCAGACCCCUUAAAAACCCCAUCUGCAAACCUCUUGAAGAGGCAUAUUUGAGGUUUCCUCUCAUCUCCUCAUUUGGUUUCCCUACAAUUAUUAAAUUCUUUCUCUGCUGCAACUCCUACUUUUUCAGUGUAUUGGUCUGUUACUGUGCAACAGGAAAUCAGACCUGGUGGUCCUAUAGUAAGAGUUCACAGAAUAUGAUAUACAAAGUGAUCUGUGAUAUACAAAAACCGGCACAAUCUCACUCUUAAUAAGAAAAAUUCAACUUAAAAUUAAAAGUUUUUUUUCCUCAGAAUGGCAAAGAUCAAAGUUUGAUAACAUGGUUGGAAAGUAUGCAGACCGAUAUUCUCAUAUUCAUUGAUGAAGUGUAAAUUGAUACAUCCUUUGUCAGUACGGACAGGUUUCCCAACUCUAGGGGUGAAAUUUAUACAGACUACAGUGUGAAUGACAACCACUUCAAAUUGGGUGAUAUGAUGACCUUGACUCUGUGGAGGGUCAUUUGGCAAAAUAUCUCAAAAUAAAAAUGUACAUACAAUUUG
rnacentral:lncRNA from 10 species